rnacentral:rRNA from 1 species
CAGUCGCCACGGGAAUACGGAGGGAGCUAGCGUUGUUCGGAAUCACUGGGCGUAAAGCGCACGUAGGCGGCUAUUCAAGUCAGGGGUGAAAGCCCGGGGCUCAACCCCAGAACUGCCUUUGAAACUAGAUAGCUUGAAUCUUGGAGAGGCGAGUGGAAUUCCGAGUGUAGAGGUGAAAUUCGUAGACAUUCGGAAGAACACCAGUGGCGAAGGCGACUCGCUGGACAAGUAUUGACGCUGAGGUGCGAAAGCGUGGGGAGCAAACAGGAUUAGAUACCCGAGUAGUCCCUGUCUCUUAUAC